UGGCGGCAUGCCUAACACAUGCAAGUCGAACGGAGAAUAAUUGGAGCUUGCUCCGAUUAAACUUAGUGGCGGACGGGUGAGUAACGCGUGAGUAACCUGCCUUUGAGAGGGGGAUAACAUACCGAAAGGUAUGCUAAUACCGCAUGAAAUUAUAGGUUGGCAUCGACUUAUGAUCAAAGAGUUAUCGCUCAGAGAUGGACUCGCGUCUGAUUAGCUAGUUGGUGAGGUAACGGCUCACCAAGGCGACGAUCAGUAGCCGGACUGAGAGGUUGAACGGCCACAUUGGGACUGAGACACGGCCCAGACUCCUACGGGAGGCAGCAGUGGGGAAUAUUGCGCAAUGGGGGGAACCCUGAACCGCAGCAAUGCCGCGUGAAGGAUGAAGGUUUUCGGAUUGUAAACUUCUUUGACGAGGGACGAAAGAUGACGGUACCUCGAAAACAAGCCACGGCUAACUACGUGCCAGCAGCGGC
rnacentral:rRNA from 1 species